UCAGAUUUCCUUUCAAGAGAGUUUCUUGCAAGAGAGCAGUUAGCUGACAACUGUGAGCUGCUAUAUUUUCAAAAUCCCCAGCAUAUUUUUAGCAGGCCAUGCUCUACCUUGGUUAAUGCCUGUCAAUGACUGAGUAUGGUGGAAGUACUAGUGCCAGGCCAUUUCUUCACAAGUGGUAAAUCCCUUUAACAAGCGUAUUUUGUGUUCUAAUCAUCCUGACUGAAGCUUGCUCAGGCAUACCCUACAGUCUGAUCUCCCUACUACUCAAUUUUCCUUCCUUCACUCUUUCCUUUUAUAGGUGUCAGAACUGUAUUUCUAUCUGCAAGCUCCUUGUGUUUUCUCUUAAACCCUGUUCCAAUGAUGUUACCCAGGCAUUUCUAGCAAAAAAUAUUUGCGGGUUUAAUUCUUUCUGUGUCUGAUUCUUGAAAAUCUUAAACUUAGAUGACUCUCAAGUUGACUCACUUGGAAAACUAAAAUGUUAUCCUUCAUUCUUCUCUCUGCCUUUUCUUCAGUGUCUAACUGAUCCCCUAACAAUGCCACCUUAGAAACGCUCACUCUCAUCCCUUUUCUCUACUGCCCAGCAGAAUCUCUGUUGGAUCCUCAUUACUUUUCUGAGUUACAGAUGGAAUUUCUUAAAUUGUGCCCCUGAUUCUAGUCUUGAUAUCUUCAACCUACAAAAGUAGGUUGAAUAUGCAGCCAGACUAAUACGGCAAAGUUAAUGUUGUAGUUCCUCCUCAGGAGGCUUGCAAACGCAAAUGCCUCAGGGAACUGGCAGGUUAUAUAAAUGAGUGAAGCAAGUGAAGAGUGUGGUGACCCAUAAAAGUGCCUUUUCUUCCACGAAAAGCAAAUUUCUCAGGUGUAAGGCAACACCGAUCCAGUAUGAAUUCCUGGUUUUUCCUUUUCUUUGUUUUUAAGGUUUAAGGAAACUAGGUUUUAAUUUUUUAAGUUUUUGUAGGUACAUGG
rnacentral:lncRNA from 1 species